GACGAACCGUGCGAACGUUGUUCGGAAUCACUGGGCUUAAAGGGCGCGUAGGCGGGCUCACAAGUCAGGGGUGAAAUCCCACGGCUCAACCGUGGAAGUGCCUUUGAUACUGUGGGUCUGGAGGGAGGUAGGGGCGUGCGGAACUUCCGGUGGAGCGGUGAAAUGCGUAGAUAUCGGAAGGAACGCCGGUGGCGAAAGCGGCGCACUGGAUCUCAUCUGACGCUGAGGCGCGAAAGCCAGGGGAGCAAACGGG
rnacentral:rRNA from 1 species